rnacentral:piRNA from 1 species
UGAUUAUAUGGGAUCAAAUCUCACAGGAGC